rnacentral:rRNA from 1 species
GUGGGGAAUUUUGGACAAUGGGCGCAAGCCUGAUCCAGCCAUGCCGCGUGCAGGAUGAAGGCCUUCGGGUUGUAAACUGCUUUUGUACGGAACGAAACGGCUCUUUCUAAUAAAGAGGGCUAAUGACGGUACCGUAAGAAUAAGCACCGGCUAACUACGUGCCAGCAGCCGCGGUAAUACGUAGGGUGCGAGCGUUAAUCGGAAUUACUGGGCGUAAAGCGUGCGCAGGCGGUGAUGUAAGACAGAUGUGAAAGCCCCGGGCUCAACCUGGGAACUGCAUUUGUGACUGCAUCGCUGGAGUGCGGCAGAGGGGGAUGGAAUUCCGCGUGUAGCAGUGAAAUGCGUAGAUAUGCGGAGGAACACCGAUGGCGAAGGCAAUCCCCUGGGCCUGCACUGACGCUCAUGCACGAAAGCGUGGGGAGCAAACAGGAUUAGAAACCCGGGUAGUCC